UCUCCGUUAUGCAAUUUUGAUAAAACUCUUAACCUUUUUUUUUUCUUUUGGACAAAGCAAAACUCUGUUCAGACGAUCAAGCUUUUGGGUAGACCUCAUUUGCGUAAUGUAUGAAUCAUAUCUCAUCAUAAAUUCAUAUAGUUUUCCGCACCAAUAACUUCUUAAAUAUAUUGCUUCCACCAAUUACCCAAUGCAUCUUUUAAAUAAACCAGCAAGUUGUCAAUAAAUCAGUCAUCCAUAGAUGAGGAAUGAGAGAUACCAUUAAUAUAAAAGACCAAUGUGCGACAAAAUAAUAACAUAAAUUAAGAGAGUAAAACUACUGCAGAAACCCGAAAUUGUCUAAAACAGAAGACACUCCAAGACACAAAGCUCAGUCUUAAAAAGCCCUAAAGC
rnacentral:lncRNA from 1 species